AAGGACAAACCGCCCGCACGACCUCUCCCCCGCACUUCCCCACCUCUCGCCCCCUCCACCUCCUCUCGCGUCGUCCGCCUCGCCGCCCCGAUCUCUUGCCCCCUCCUCCUCCUCCCGCGCCGUUGGCCUCGCCGCCCCGCAAACUCCCGUAUCCGUUAGCCGGAGCCGCCGCUGGAGCCGCCCCGCGCCCUUCGCCGCAGGGAGCCGCCCGCCCUUGUAGCCGCCGCAGGUCGCCGCUAGAGACGGAGCCGCCCGCCCCGCCCCGCCCCGCCGACCUGUCCUUACGGGUAGGUCGCGGCACUCGGGAAGAGCGCGACGAUGGAGUAUGUGAAGGAAAUGAUGGCGGCGAUGAUGGGGAUAAGGUCACGUCGUGGCCCUUGUAAUGGCGGCAGUUGCUGUAUGCAUGGACCUGCACUCUUAAGGCACGCGACCCUUGUAAUGGCAGCAGUUGCUGCGCGGACCUGCACUCUUAAGGCCAGGAACUUCUUUCUUUCCAUUGACUAUCUUAACAAAAUUACCGAAGUCCUUCCUCUCUUCCAUGUGGAGAUGAUCUGCAGCUCUCUGAUGGAUGGCAAGGCCUUCCCAUUGAGUAUCUGGGUUCCCUCGAGUUUCUCUUUCUUAUGAAUGGAAGCCUGCGUGGAGUUGCCAAGAUGGACCAGGCCAAGGAAGCUGCACGAUCUGCCGACGCACCUCAACAUGUCACUCAUGCAUCUUUCUCUUAUUGGGUAUUGUGUCUGUCAGAAGCAAAUCUGAUGGGGUUGCGCAACUGGCACUACAGCAAAAUGUCGUGAAGCCUGCCUCGCCAUGGCGGAGAAUAGCAUAGUGUUGUUCAAUGGGAUGCACAAUUUUUUGUUUGAUUCAUCAAGUAUCCUUGGUGCUAAUUUACAUAGCUUAGACGCAUUUGCUUUUUUUCAGUGGAAGAAUAUACCGUAAGGGCAGAUAAUAAGCUUUUGUGAAAUUUUGGUUCCAAUCGGUGAUUUUCUUAUUAUAAACUGGUUAUGAGGUUGAGGGUGUACUUAUUAUUAGAAAUGAAUUGUUGCUAUGUGGAUUUACAUGCCGAAGUGAAGAAAUACCCUGCCACUAUGGAACGUGUGUGCUGAAACAGUUGAAUAUAUCAGUUCAGCUGCAAUGGUAGCGAUGGAGACAUCAUGCAGCGGUUAUCAGUACAGUGCAGAUGAUCAUGUGGCCAUUUUGUUUUAUCUUCAGUACGAUGUUUAAUAUCGCCAAUUCAAUCUCGUACCCUGUAAUUUGGUUCGUCCGAGAGAUACUAGCUGCACCUUUCCGACUUGUCAGUUGCACUAGCAAGUUUUGUAGUAGAGACUUCUUUGAUGAUAUUGUUGAUCUUUUAAGGAAGACCUGGUCAAUAGGGAGUUCGUUGUAUCAAGGUGGUUCUGCAUCCAGAGCACUUGCGCUUACAUCUGAAACUACCAUUUGGGGAUCACUCUGGAAAGAUCUGUACCAGAUUUUGAGUGCAGUCCGGAGCAUUUUGUAUGGUUUUGUUGUCUUCUUUUCAACGUGCAAUAGGCAUCGACUCAGGUAAAAAAAAUUGGCUUGUAUGCAGAGGUAGUAUUUGCAAAUGAGACAAACAAUUAGUCGAAAAUCUGAAUGAUGAGAACAUCCAUUGACGAUACAUUCUUCGGCAUUGACCACCGCCCUGUCACGAUGUUCAGUCUCUAGGUUGUAGUGUGUGAGAAGGACGAGAAAUCUGAGCAUGUCCACUUGUCCAGGUUUUGAGUACUGCUGUGUGUCGUUUGUGUUUGUUCAGUUGUGAUGUGUGCAGUCUGUACUGAAUUUUGGCUACAAGCGCUACUAUAAUCUUUCAUAUUUUAGAAUUAUUAAUAACCUGACAUUCUUAUUCAUAUUUUUGGUAAAUGUUUGCGACUAAAAUGACCACAUGAGUACCUAGGUUAUGGCUUGUUAAACUAAUGUUCCUUUUUUAGUGCCAUUUACAUUACUUAUAAUCUUACACAGUUCAUCAUUCUGCAUCCAUUGGAUAAGGUGAGCAUGUUCUCCUUUAGAUUUUUUUCUGCUGUAAACCAAAAUGAUUGAUUUUUUUUAUAGGUAUCCCUCACAGGCCACUGCAGUAUCCUAUUUGUUGCGCCACUACUACAAAUUCAUGAUAGUCGCAAUUCCCAUCCACCAUGGAUGCUCCCAGGAGGACAUGGUGUCUGUGGAGGUGCAGUAUGUGAUUCUAACAAGGGUACAGCUUAAAGGUAUAUGCAUGGAUUGUGUCGACCACGUGUGUACUUCAUACUACUUAUUUUGAUGGAUUAAUUGGUUGAAUGAUGCUUAUCUUCUCUUCUUUUCUUUACAAUUUGGUGAGCAAAUCAAAUUUGAGAUGUAUUUAUAAUGAUCACAUACUUGGUGUGUUUCGUUUUGCAGCAACAUGAUUUCAGACGAAUGUAAGGCUGAAGGAAGAUUUUAGAGAUGGCAAAGGCGUCAGCAAGGACAUGAGACAAGAGGUAAACCAACAGAGAAUUUCUCGGUGAACCUUCACUUUUAAUGCAAGUUCACAGGACGACUACUGUAUCUUUAAGUUGCAUUUGGUUGCUUGGAUGAAGCUGGAUGGGAGAUUGUCAUCCAGCUUUUGGAAGUCCUGGUUUUAUUUGUUUGGUUUGAUGGACAGGAUAGGAUAUGUAUCCCAUUAAAACGAAUGUAUCUCCAACCAGGGAAAAUCCAAGUGGUAGAAAAUCUCGAGUUAGCUGAGCCACUUCUUGCCCCCACUGAUUAAGCUUAAACAUGACGUAUAUAUUUCUCUUAGAGAAAUAUUCACUUGCGGCAUUCAUCGAACAACACCUUUUCUGAAUCACAGAAAUGGGCUUGGCCAAAUGCCAGGUCGAGUCAACAAUCCUCUACCUUCUAUAGGCUCUUCACAUGCACAUACCUCUGGUUCGUGUAACAUCUAUAAUUGAUGACUUCCAAUAACUUUACACUGAAGGAUUUAUUAAUUCAGAAAUUUAUUUAUGCACCA